UACGUAGGGGGCAAGCGUUGUCCGGAUUUAUUGGGCGUAAAGAGCGUGUAGGCGGUUUGGUAGGUCCGCUGUGAAAACUCGAGGCUCAACCUCGAGACGCCGGUGGAAACCAUCAGACUAGAGUCCGGAAGAGGAGAGUGGAAUUCCUGGUGUAGCGGUGAAAUGCGCAGAUAUCAGGAAGAACACCCGUGGCGAAGGCGGCUUUCUGGGACGGUACUGACGCUGAGACGCGAAAGCGUGGGGAGCGAACAGG
rnacentral:rRNA from 1 species